rnacentral:rRNA from 1 species
GACGAACGCUGGCGGCGUGCUUAACACAUGCAAGUCGAGCGGUAAGGCCUCGUCGGGGGUCCACGGGCGGCGAACGGGGGAGUAACACGUAGGUGACCUGCCCCCAGCUCUGGGAUAAGCAUGGGUAACUGGGACUAAUGCCGGUUAUGAACUUUACUCUCAUGGGGUUUGGUGGAUAGUUAUUUCGGAUGGUGCUGGGCCGGAGGCGUGUCAGCUUGUUGGUGGGGUGAAGGCCUACCAAGGCGGCGACCGGCCGCAAGCCUGAGAAGGCGACCGGCAACACUGUGACUGAGGCACGGCUCGGAAACCUACGGCAGGCAGCAGUGGGGAAUCGUGCGAAAGCGGCGGAAGCGUGAAGGAGCGUCGGAGCGUGGGGGACGGCGGCUUGCGGGGAGCAAAUCUCUAUCGAACCAGACGAAUUUUGACGGUAGCGGUAGAAGAAGCACCGGCUAACUACGUG